rnacentral:rRNA from 1 species
AUUGAACGCUGGCGGCAUGCCUUACACAUGCAAGUCGAACGGCAGCACGGGGGGUAACCCCUGGUGGCGAGUGGCGAACGGGUGAGUAAUAUAUCGGAACGUGUCCUGUAGCGGGGGAUAACCUAUUGAAAGAUGGACUAAUACCGCAUACGACCUACGGGUGAAAGCGGAGGACCGCAAGGCUUCGCACUAUAGGAGCGGCCGAUAUCGGAUUAGCUAGUUGGCGGGGUAACGGCCCACCAAGGCGACGAUCCGUAGCUGGUCUGAGAGGACGAUCAGCCACACUGGAACUGAGACACGGUCCAGACUCCUACGGGAGGCAGCAGUGGGGAAUUUUGGACAAUGGGCGCAAGCCUGAUCCAGCCAUGCCGCGUGAGUGAAGAAGGCCUUCGGGUUGUAAAGCUCUUUCGGCGGGGACGAAACGGUUCGUGCUAAUACCACGGACUACUGACGGUACCCGCAGAAGAAGCACCGGCUAACUACGUG